UACGUAGGGGGCAAGCGUUGUCCGGAAUCAUUGGGCGUAAAGAGCGUGUAGGCGGCCAGAAAAGUCCGCUGUGAAAACUCGAGGCUCAACUUCGAGCUGUCGGUGGAAACUUUCUGGCUAGAGUCCGGAAGAGGAGAAUGGAAUUCCUGGUGUAGCGGUGAAAUGCGCAGAUAUCAGGAAGAACACCCGUGGCGAAGGCGGUUCUCUGGGCCGAUACUGACGCUGAGGAGCGAAAGCGUGGGGAGCGAACAGG
rnacentral:rRNA from 1 species